rnacentral:rRNA from 1 species
CCUACGGGAGGCUGCAGUGAGGAAUAUUGGUCAAUGGCCGGAAGGCUGAACCAGCCAUGCCGCGUGAAGGUCAGUGCCCUAUGGGUUGUAAACUGCUUUUAUACGGGAAUAACGCGCCUUACGUGUAGGGCUUUGCAUGUACCGUAUGAAUAAGGACCGGCUAAUUCCGUGCCAGCAGCCGCGGUAAUACGGAAGGUCCGGGCGUUAUCCGGAUUUAUUGGGUUUAAAGGGAGCGUAGGCCGCAUGUCAAGGGUGCUGUGAAAUGUCCGGGCUCAACCCGGGCCUUGCAGCGCGAACUGGCGUGCUUGAGUCCGCGGAAGGCAGGCGGAAUUCGUCGUGUAGCGGUGAAAUGCUUAGAUAUGACGAAGAACCCCGAUUGCGAAGGCAGCUUGCUGCAGCGGAACUGACGCUGAUGCUCGAAAGCGCGGGUAUCGAACAGGAUUAGAUACCCGAGUAGUC